CGCCUAAAAUAUCAGCUGGCCUGGGUAUGCGAAUAAUGCGAUAAAUCUGGAAAACGUAAAUCAGAUCGUCAGAUGUUCUGACUGAGCAUGCACACCGGCUACAGCAGAGCAGAGAAAUGCCCUCCAAACUCUUGGGGCCACAGCCAGGAGAAGGUUAAAGGAUACAGCUUCUAGAUGGACAGAAAUGCCAACAAGCUACAGCCAGAACAGACCUGUGAGCAGACGAAAAGGCAGUAGGACCAAUGGCUCGACCUGCCCUCAAGGUGUCAGACGUGGGAUGUCAGUGCAUCUGUCUCCAGGCAUCAGAGUGGCACCAUCACUGUGCAAAGAGGAAAAGCAGGCAAGGAGUUGUGUUUCCAAACCCGGGUGCCCCUGACCCAGGCAGGGAAUUUCCAACUCUAAAUCUGGCCCACCUGGGGAGAGUAAGGAACCUUCCAAGAAGGGAAGGGUAGAGAUUUCAUGUCAGGGCCUGACCCACUGAAAGUGGCGGGUUCUUGGGAACUUGGAACACAAGAGGGGAUGGGUGUAGGAUUUUCCACCUGGCCCAUUCCCUACACUUGAUGUCCCAGCCAUGGUCAGAUGAGGGAUGGCUAUGAAUGCUCAUGGAUCUUAGACACUGUUAGAGCUUUCCAAAUCAGGCUAAAGGUUCUUCUAGGGAGCCUGGAGAUGUGAAGAACCUCAAGGACCUGGAGCACAAGGACCCAAGAGAAAGCAGGGAAGCAGGACACAGUGGGGGCUUCAUAGUGUAGAAAUGCCACAGGACAAGAGUGACUCACACUACCUGAAAAUAAACUGCGGAAUGAGUUGAU